rnacentral:rRNA from 1 species
AGCGAACGCUGGCGGCAGGCUUAACACAUGCAAGUCGAACGCCCCGCAAGGGGAGUGGCAGACGGGUGAGUAACACGUGGGAACGUACCCUUUGGUUCGGAAUAACUUGGGGAAACUCAAGCUAAUACCGGAUAAGCCCUUAUGGGGAAAGGUUUACUGCCGAAGGAUCGGCCCGCGUCUGAUUAGCUAGUUGGUGAGGCAAUGGCUCACCAAGGCGACGAUCAGUAGUUGGUCUGAGAGGAUGAUCAGCCACACUGGGACUGAGACACGGCCCAGACUCCUACGGGAGGCAGCAGUGGGGAAUAUUGGACAAUGGGGGCAACCCUGAUCCAGCCAUGCCGCGUGAGUGAUGAAGGCCUUAGGGUUGUAAAGCUCUUUUAUCCGGGACGAUAAUGACGGUACCGGAGGAAUAAGCCCCGGCUAACUUCGUGACAGCAGCCGCGGUAA